rnacentral:tRNA from 1 species
GCCGUACUAGAGAAAUGGUUAACUCGUCGGCCUCCUAGUUGUAUCAUCAAUUACAGCCGAAGAUUCCCGGUUCGAGUCCGGGGUGCGGUG